rnacentral:rRNA from 1 species
UGGGGAAUAUUGGACAAUGGGCGAAAGCCUGAUCCAGCGACGCCGCGUGGGUGAAGAAGGCCUGCGGGUUGUAAAGCCCUUUCGGUGGGGAAGAAAAGCCUCGAGUUAAUACCUCGGGGUCUUGACGUAACCCAUAGAAGAAGCACCGGCUAACUCUGUGCCAGCAGCCGCGGUAAUACAGAGGGUGCGAGCGUUAAUCGGAAUUACUGGGCGUAAAGCGCGCGUAGGCGGCUUUGCAAGUCGGGUGUGAAAUCCCCAGGCUUAACCUGGGAACUGCAUUCGAGACUGCAUUGCUAGAGUAUGGGAGAGGGAAGUGGAAUUUCCGGUGUAGCGGUGAAAUGCGUAGAUAUCGGAAGGAACAUCAGUGGCGAAAGCGACUUCCUGGACCAAUACUGACGCUCAUGUGCGAAAGCGUGGGGAGCAAACAGGAUUAGAUACCCUGGUAGUCCACGCCAUAAACGAUGAGAACU